GGGUUGUGAGGUUAAGCGACUAAGCGUACACGGUGGAUGCCCUGGCAGUCAGAGGCGAUGAAGGACGUGCUAAUCUGCGAUAAGCGUCGGUGAGGUGAUAUGAACCGUUAUAACCGGCGAUUUCCGAAUGGGGAAACCCAGUGUGUUUCGACACACUAUCAUUAACUGAAUCCAUAGGUUAAUGAGGCGAACCGGGGGAACUGAAACAUCUAAGUACCCCGAGGAAAAGAAAUCAACCGAGAUUCCCCCAGUAGCGGCGAGCGAACGGGGAGGAGCCCAGAGCCUGAAUCAGUGUGUGUGUUAGUGGAAGCGUCUGGAAAGGCGYGCGAUACAGGGUGACAGCCCCGUACACAAAAAUGCACAUAUUGUGAGCUCGAUGAGUAGGGCGGGACACGUGGUAUCCUGUCUGAAUAUGGGGGGACCAUCCUCCAAGGCUAAAUACUCCUGACUGACCGAUAGUGAACCAGUACCGUGAGGGAAAGGCGAAAAGAACCCCGGCGAGGGGAGUGAAAAAGAACCUGAAACCGUGUACGUACAAGCAGUGGGAGCCACGUUAUGGGG
rnacentral:rRNA from 1 species